rnacentral:rRNA from 1 species
AGUAAUGUAUGGGGAUCUGCCUGAUGGCGGGGGAUGACUACUGGAAACGGUAGCUAAUACCGCAUAAUGUCUGCGGACCAAAGCGGGGGACCUCCGGGCCUCGCGCCAUCAGAUGAACCCAUAUGGGAUUAGCUAGUAGGUAAGGUAACGGCUUACCUAGGCGACGAUCCCUAGCUGGUCUGAGAGGAUGAUCAGCCACACUGGGACUGAGACACGGCCCAG